GUUCUGCAGGCGGCCGCGUCCGAGGCUUCCCCGGGACCGUACUGCGGAGAGGACGCUGGCCGCGUCGGUGGUGUGAGGGCGUCAUCAGCCUCCUCGUCGCUUGCUUGGCUUGCGUUUGCUGAUGGAAGAGCUGUUGCUGGCCCCGUUCCUCCCUGCACUUGCGAAAUUUGUGUGAACCAGCAGCUGGAAGUACCACACCAGAAACUCUUGAGUCAUCUACUGAUCCUAAGCUCAGUCCCAUCUGGCGCUCCAGAGGCAAAGCAGGUGUGCUGCUGCUUAAAGAUCUCCACGAAGACCAUACAUCACUUCACAGAGAAUGUAUUAUCAUUACAGGGAACACUUUCCUUGUAUAUUUGGAGAGAAAGCUCUUCAUGGAAGAUCUUUGUCCGGCUUUCCUAGACAAGAUCUUUCCCACAGUCUCCAAAGGCCAUUUCUUUCCUGAGCAGAAAUGAAAGGUAUCCUUCAAAGG